CGCACCUUGCGCUCCCUGGUAUUCCGGGGAGCACGCCUGUUCGAGUGUCAUGAAACUAUCAAACUUCAUAGCUUUAUUGCUUUAUGAGGUUUGGAUUUGGGCUUUGCAGCGUCAUUGCUGCUGGUCCUAAAUGCAUUAGCUGGCCCUUGUCAAGACUUGGUUCUACUCGGCGUGAUAAUUAUCUAACGUUGAGGACAUUUCCCUUUGGGAGAUGGCCAAUCUCGUCUAGGAUUGCUUCUAAUCGUCUUCGGACAACUUUUCAAUGAUCUGGCCUCGAAUCAGGUGGGACUACCCGCUGAACUUAA
rnacentral:misc_RNA from 1 species